rnacentral:lncRNA from 1 species
UUCAAUACAAAAACAACAUUCAACAAAUACAACAUUCAACAUUCAACAUUCAAGAAAACUAACAUUCAAGAAAACUAACAUUCAACAAAAAUAACAUGGAAGACCUAUUUGGAUGGAGGAGUUUGAUAUCUUUGAUCGCUUUGACCUGCAUUAAUACUUUUAUCUUGCAACGAUUCACGAUCUGAAGAUUGUGAAGUUGUAUUUGAUUGGGAUAAAACUGUUUUCGAUCUUAAGGUCUUCAAACAUAUCAAACAUUUUAUCAUAUUUCCUUUUUAAAACUCGAUUAUCCUGUAAAAUAUUUAAGAUUCAUUUAUAUUUAUGUAUUACUUUAAAAUUUUAUUGACUGUCAUACACAUACCUCUAUUAACUUCUCCAUUUGAUC